rnacentral:rRNA from 1 species
AUGCUGCGAAGUUCUGGUUUGGAGAUCAACCCCGACAAGUACAUCGACAUCCAGCGCAAAUGGAGAGUUCCUUUCAUGGGAAGAAAGAGGUACCACUCUUUGGCUGAUGUUGCAGGGAGCGUGAUCCACCCAUUCUACAAACAGAUGAAGGAUAAGAUUGAUAGGGUUGAAGACCAUAAACUGUGGGGGAUCAGUCCACUGCCAAAUUACCUCAUUGAGUAUGCAACGAUAGAUGCGUACGCCACCUACUAG